GUCGGGUGCGGUGGCGCACACCUGUAAUCCCAGUGGCUUGGGAGGCUGAGACAGGAGGAUGGCAAGUUCAAAGCCAGCCUCAGCAAAAUCGAGGCACUUAGCAACUCAGUGAGACCCUGUCUCUA
rnacentral:sRNA from 1 species